AACGAACGCUGGCGGCAUGCCUAACACAUGCAAGUCGAACGAGACCUUCGGGUCUAGUGGCGCACGGGUGCGUAACGCGUGGGAACCUGCCCUUAGGUUCGGAAUAACUCCCCGAAAGGGGUGCUAAUACCGGAUAAUGUCUUCGGACCAAAGAUUUAUCGCCUUUGGAUGGGCCCGCGUUGGAUUAGCUAGUUGGUAGGGUAAAAGCCUACCAAGGCGACGAUCCAUAGCUGGUCUGAGAGGAUGAUCAGCCACACUGGGACUGAGACACGGCCCAAACUCCUACGGGAGGCAGCAGUGGGGAAUAUUGGACAAUGGGCGGAAGCCUGAUCCAGCAAUGCCGCGUGAGUGAUGAAGGCCUUAGGGUUGUAAAGCUCUUUUAGCCGGGAAGAUAAUGACAGUACCGGGAGAAUAAGCUCCGGCUAACUCCGUG
rnacentral:rRNA from 1 species